rnacentral:lncRNA from 11 species
GAAUCGGCUUCAAAAACUGGUUUUCAGACUCUCUCACAGCAGGAAGAAAAUCACUAAAAUUGUUUGCUGCUUCCUUUGAGAAGAAGCUUAGUACAAACUACUGUAGUCUUUCAUCUGGAUGGGGUCACUAAGCAGAAUGGAAACUGCAGUCAAGAAAUCAGAAGACUGGGACUUUAGAUGGGCAGCUAUGAG